rnacentral:rRNA from 1 species
AACGCUGGCGGCGUGCCUAACACAUGCAAGUCGAGCGGAGUCGGUAAGAGGAAGUUUCGGAUGGAAUCUUAUUGAUUUAGCGGCGGACGGGUGAGUAACGCGUGAGCGACCAACCUUGCACAGGGGGAUAACGGACCGAAAGGUUCACUAAUACCGCAUGAGACCACGGUGUUGCAUGACACAGAGGUCAAAGGAGCAAUCCGGUGCAAGACGGGCUCGCGUCCGAUUAGGUAGUUGGAGGGUAACGGCCCACCAAGCCUAUGAUCGGUAGCCGACCUGAGAGGGUGAUCGGCCACAUUGGAACUGAGAUACGGUCCAAACUCCUACGGGAGGCAGCAGUGGGGAAUAUUGGGCAAUGGGGGGAAACCCUGACCCAGCAACGCCGCGUGAAGGAAGAAGGUUUUCGGAUUGUAAACUUCUGUCCUUGGUGAAGAGAAGAAGACGGUAGCCAAGGAGGAAGCCCCGGCUAACUACGUGCCAGCAGCUGC